AAAAUAAAUAAACGAAUAAAUUUACAAACAUAUACAUAAAUGUAUAUGUUCAUAUAUCAGAAUAUUUACAUUUAACUUCGAGUUUAACUCUUUUCAAUGCACGAGGUGGAACUCCAUUAUCAGCUACACAGAUCCUAUAGGAAUGACAGCACCGUCACUUCUAAACCACUGAACAGUAGGUUGAGGCUUGCCACUUGCUGCACAUUUUAAUCGCAAAUUAGUUCCCUCAUCAACAGAAAUUACGCCAGUUGAAGAAUUUAAUGUUGAAGAUAAUAUCUGAUCAUCUAAAAAAUUGUUUAAAGAGUGUCUUGUUUGAGCAAGUAAAUUUUCAAAGCUGUUAUCCCUGGUCUGCCAUCUUGUCCUGGUGAGCCUGGUCUACCAGGAGGACCCAUUUCUCCUAAAGUUGUU